GCACAAGCGGUGGAGCAUGUGGUUUAAUUCGACGCAACGCGAAGAACCUUACCUGGGCUCGAAAUGUAGUGGAAUCCGGCAGAAACGUCGGCGUCUAGCAAUAGACCGCUAUAUAGGUGCUGCAUGGCUGUCGUCAGCUCGUGUCGUGAGAUGUUGGGUUAAGUCCCGCAACGAGCGCAACCCUUAUCUUCAGUUGCUACCAUUUAGUUGAGCACUCUGACGAAACCGCCUCGGAUAACGGGGAGGAAGGUGGGGAUGACGUCAAGUCCUCAUGGCCUUUAUGUCCAGGGCUACACACGUGCUACAAUGGCCGGUACAAACCGCUGCAACCCCGCGAGGGUGAGCUAAUCGGAAAAAGCCGGCCUCAGUUCGGAUUGGAGUCUGCAACUCGACUCCAUGAAGCUGGAAUCGCUAGUAAUCGUGGAUCAGCAUGCCACGGUGAAUACGUUCCCGGGC
rnacentral:rRNA from 1 species